rnacentral:lncRNA from 1 species
GGUAGGGCCAACAAGUUUGAUGGGAAGAUCUCAGCCUUUCCUGGGAGAGAUGGGAACGGGAGCGUUGAUUUGGAGGUUGUUUUGGCCCCUGAUACCAUGUUGGAGGUUGAGAAUGACCCUGAGAUUAUGCAGUACGUAUCCGAAUUCCUGUGAGUGCAAUCAGUAGGGAAAAGAAACAUAAAUCCGAGGUGGCAAUUUGUGAUGGGUGAUAAGUUGUUAAACCGUUACCCAAAUCUUGGAGGAAGAAAAUACCACCAUAAACUUGAACGGCUGUGAUUUCAUUUCCUGUAAACUCAAAAAAAAGAAAAAAAGGUUACCCCUAUAAAAAUGGAUCAAGUCAGAAACCAUAAAAUUCGAGUUAUUUUCCCAAUUCUUGUGUCGGUUAGGUUUCAUAUAUAUAUGGUUUGGAAAUUUUUUGGUAUUAUAUACAUAUAUGUGUAAUGGCAACAUAAUAUUAGAAUGACAGAUGAAAUCAAAUGGCUGUGUUUCUAAUUACCAAUCAGGGUAGCGGCAACUAUCCGGUUCAUCUCAGGUCCUUAUCUCUAAUACUAGCUAUGGAGGCAUGUUUUGUCACAUUCAAUUGUUUAUUUUAAUCU